rnacentral:rRNA from 1 species
UACAGAGGGGGGCAAGCGUUUGUUCGGAAUUACUGGGCGUAAAGGGCGCGUAGGCGGCCCGCUAAGUCGAACGUGAAAAUCCCCCGAGCUCAACUCGGGAACUGCGUCCGAUACUGGCGGGCUUGAAUCCGGGAGAGGGAUGCGGAAUUCCAGGUGUAGCGGUGAAAAUGCGUAGAUAUCUGGAGGAACACCGGUGGCGAAGGCGGCAUCCUGGACCGGUAUUGACGCUGAGGCGCGAAAAGCCAGGGGGAGCAAAACGGG